CCUACGGGUGGCAGCAGUGGGGAAUAUUCGGCAAUGGGGGAAACUCUGACCCAGCAACGCCGCGUGAAUGAUGAAGGUCUUCGGAUUGUAAAGUUCUGUUCUAAGGGAAGAAGAAAGUGACGGUACCUUAGGAAUAGGCUGCGGGUAACUACUUGCAAGCAGCCGCGGUAAUAUGUAGGAGGCAAGCGGUAACCGGAAUGAAUGGGCGGAAAGGCUGAGUAGGUCGUUCAGCAAGUUAGUAGCGUAAUUCCGGGGGUCAAAUUCGGGACUACUACUAAAACUGUUGGACUUGAGUUAAGGAGGGGCAACUGGAAUUUCUAGUGUAGCGGUGGAAUGCGUAGAUAUUAGGAAGAACACCAGUGGCGAAGGCGAGUUGCUGGAUUGUAACUGACACUGAGGCACGAAAGCGUGGGGAGCAAACAGGAUUAGAUACCCUAGUAGUC
rnacentral:rRNA from 1 species